GGGCGGUUAGCUCAGUGGUUAGAGCGCUUGCUUCACACGCAAGAGGCCACUGGUUCAAGUCCAGUACCGCCCA
rnacentral:tRNA from 1 species